CUUGUUUACCAACCCUGUUACCAAUAUUAUAUACUAGACUCUAAAUAUUUCAGCAUUAUAUUGAAAUAUCAUACUAGUCUGGCAAAAGGAAGGAACGAAAAAAAGGCAUAUGAACGAUGCCACAUUAUCAACUUCAUUCAGAGUCCAUUGAUCGUCAUUUACUGCAAGAAAUGUGAACUAUAAGAAUAAUAACUCAAAGAAACAGGACAUAAAAGUAAUGCAUAAAUACAAGAAUUUAUAUAGUCAAUAAUCAAUAUA